rnacentral:rRNA from 1 species
GACGAACGCUGGCGGCGUGCUUAACACAUGCAAGUCGAACGGAAAGGCCCCUUUGGGGGUACUCGAGUGGCGAACGGGUGAGUAACACGUGAGUAACCUGCCCUUGACUUCGGGAUAACUUCAGGAAACUGGGGCUAAUACCGGAUAGGAAUCCUUGCUGCAUGGUGGGGGUUGGAAAGCUUCGGCGGUUUUGGAUGGACUCGCGGCUUAUCAGCUUGUUGGUGGGGUAGUGGCUUACCAAGGCUUUGACGGGUAGCCGGCCUGAGAGGGCGACCGGCCACAUUGGGACUGAGAUACGGCCCAGACUCCUACGGGAGGCAGCAGUGGGGAAUAUUGCACAAUGGGCGGAAGCCUGAUGCAGCACCGCCGCGUGCGGGAUGACGGCCUUCGGGUUGUAAACCGCUUUCAGCAGGGGCGAAGCUUGUGGUGACGGUACCUGCAGAAGAAGCACCGGCUAACUACGUG